rnacentral:rRNA from 1 species
GGACGAGGGCGCCCGCAGGAGGACCAACAAGGCUCUUAUAGUCCCCCCCUCGCGGGAUAUUUUAUAAUCUGAGCCUUCUCGGCGCCGCUCGUAGGCAUUUCGAAAAUGAAUCAAAACUUUCAACAUGGGAUCUCUUGGUUCUGGCAUCAAUGAACAACGCAGCGAAAUGCGAUAAGUAAUGUGAAUUGCACAAUUCAUUGAAUCAUCGAAUCUUUGAACGCACAUUGCGCCCGCCAGUAUUCUGGCGGGCAUGCCUGUCCGAGCGUCAUUUCAACCCUCGAACCCCUCCGGGGGGUCGGCGUUGGGGAUCGGCCCUCCCUUAGCGGGUGGCCGUCUCCGAAAUACAGUGGCGGUCUCGCCCCACCCUCUCCUGCUUUUAGUUUGCACACUCGCAUCGGGAGCGCGGCGCGUCCACAGCCGUUAAACACCCAACUUCUGAAAUGUUGACCUCGGAUCAGGUAGGAAUACCCGCUGAACUUAAGCAUAUCAAUAAGCGGGAGUGAA